UCACCCAGCACCUGGGCCCCUUUCUUCCACUCGAGAAGGCAGAAAUGCCAGAGACUCACUGGCUCGCUGUCCUUCGCCCCAGGGCAAGGGCCUUUGUCCAGGCCCAGCCAAUCAGACGUACCCUCCCAGGAGUUCGCUGGGGGGCUGGCUGCCACGUCUGGACAACAGAGAGCCUCCUUCGAGGCUCAGGGCUCGAAGUGUCUGGGCUAUGUGAGGAUCCUGCAGUGUCUGGGCUACGGUCGGGCAGAGUCCGUUUCCUGCAAGUGAUAGAGAUGUUGUCACCAGGAAUGGCAGAAGGUGCUGCGGGGAAAUAGAGGUGGGUCCGGACUGGACAUUUGUCUGGUAGGAGCUGAAGGCAGUGGAAACCCAGCUAGGAUGAAGGCUCUAGCGAACCUGGCAGCCUGAAGCCACCGCUGGGGGUGUGGUGUAAUAAAAAAUACGUGUUCUUA